rnacentral:rRNA from 1 species
UACGAAGGGGGCUAGCGUUGCUCGGAAUCACUGGGCGUAAAGGGCGCGUAGGCGGCCGAUUAAGUCGGGGGUGAAAGCCUGUGGCUCAACCACAGAAUUGCCCUCGAUACUGGUUGGCUUGAGACCGGAAGAGGACAGCGGAACUGCGAGUGUAGAGGUGAAAUUCGUAGAUAUUCGCAAGAACACCAGUGGCGAAGGCGGCUCACUGGCCCGGUACUGACGCUGAGGUGCGAAAGCGUGGGGAGCGAGUCCGG